rnacentral:rRNA from 1 species
GACGAACGCUGGCGGCGUGCUUAACACAUGCAAGUCGAACGGAAAGGCCCUGCUUUUGUGGGGUGCUCGAGUGGCGAACGGGUGAGUAACACGUGAGUAACCUGCCCUGGACUUUGGGAUAACUUCAGGAAACUGGGGCAAUACCGGAUAGGAGCUCCUGCUGCAUGGUGGGGGUUGGAAAGUUUCGGCGGUUGGGGAUGGACUCGCGGCUUAUCAGCUUGUUGGUGGGGUAGUGGCUUACCAAGGCUUUGACGGGUAGCCGGCCUGAGAGGGUGACCGGCCACAUUGGGACUGAGAUACGGCCCAGACUCCUACGGGAGGCAGCAGUGGGGAAUAUUGCACAAUGGGCGGAAGCCUGAUGCAGCAACGCCGCGUGCGGGAUGACGGCCUUCGGGUUGUAAACCGCUUUCGCCUGUGACGAAGCGUGAGUGACGGUAAUGGGUAAAGAAGCACCGGCUAACUACGUG